CAGGCCUAACACAUGCAAGUCGAGCGCCCGUAGCAAUACGGGAGCGGCAGACGGGAGAGUAACACGUGGGAACGCGCCCUUCGGUUCGGAAUAACUCAGGGAAACUUGAGCUAAUACCGGAUACGCCCUUACGGGGAAAGAUUUAUUGCCGAAGGAACGGCCCGCGUCCGAUUAGCUUGUUGGUGAGGUAACGGCUCACCAAGGCGACGAACGGUAGCUGGUCUGAGAGGAUGACCAGCCUCACUGGGACUGAGACACGGCCCAGACUCCUACGGGAGGCAGCAGUGGGGAAUAUUGGACAAUGGGCGCAAGCCUGAUCCAGCCAUGCCGCGUGGAUGAUGAAGGCCCUAGGGUUGUAAAGUCCUUUUAACGGGGAAGAUAAUGACGGUACCCGUAGAAUAAGCCCCGGCUAACUUCGUGCCAGCAGCCGCGGUAAUA
rnacentral:rRNA from 1 species